rnacentral:rRNA from 1 species
CUUCCGGUGGAUAGUGGCGACGGGUGAGUAACACGUGGGCAAUCUGCCCUGCACUCUGGGACAAGCCCUGGAAACGGGGUCUAAUACCGGAUAUUACCUGGGAGGGCAUCUUCCUGGGUGUAAAGCUCCGGCGGUGCAGGAUGAGCCCGCGGCCUAUCAGCUUGUUGGUGGGGUGAUGGCCUACCAAGGCGACGACGGGUAGCCGGCCUGAGAGGGCGACCGGCCACACUGGGACUGAGACACGGCCCAGACUCCUACGGGAGGCAGCAGUGGGGAAUAUUGCACAAUGGGCGAAAGCCUGAUGCAGCGACGCCGCGUGAGGGAUGACGGCCUUCGGGUUGUAAACCUCUUUCAGCAGGGAAGAAGCGCAAGUGACGGUACCUGCAGAAGAAGCACCGGCUAACUACGUGCCAGCAGCCGCGGUAAUACGUAGGGUGCGAGCGUUGUCCGGAAUUAUUGGGCGUAAAGAGCUCGUAGGCGGUUUGUCGCGUCGGAUGUGAAAGCCCGGGGCUUAACCCCGGGUCUGCAUUCGAUACGGGCAGACUAGAGUGUGGUAGGGGAGAUCGGAAUUCCUGGUGUAGCGGUGAAAUGCGCAGAUAUCAGGAGGAACACCGGUGGCGAAGGCGGAUCUCUGGGCCAUUACUGACGCUGAGGAGCGAAAGCGUGGGGAGCGAACAGGAUUAGAUACCCUGGUAGUCCACGCCGUAAACGUUGGGAACUAGGUGUUGGCGACAUUCCACGUCGUCGGUGCCGCAGCUAACGCAUUAAGUUUCCCCGCCUGGGGGAGUACGGCCGCAAGGCCUAAAACUUCAAAGGAAAUUGA